rnacentral:rRNA from 1 species
UACGUAGGCGGAAAAUUAAGUCAGUGGUGAAAUCCUGCAGCUUAACUGUAGAACUGUCAUUGAUACUGGUUUUCUUGAAUACAGUUGAGGUAGGCGGAAUGUGUAAUGUAGCGGUGAAAUGCUUAGAUACUACACAGAACACCGAUUGCGAAGGCAGCUUACUAAACUGUUAUUGACGCUGAGGUACGAAAGCGUGGGGAGCGAACAGGAUUAGAUACCCUGGUAGUCC